rnacentral:rRNA from 1 species
UACGGAGGGUGCAAGCGUUAUCCGGAUUCACUGGGUUUAAAGGGUGCGUAGGUGGGCAAGUAAGUCAGUGGUGAAAUCUCCGGGCUUAACCCGGAAACUGCCAUUGAUACUAUUUGUCUUGAAUACUGUGGAGGUCAGCGGAAUAUGUCAUGUAGCGGUGAAAUGCGCAGAUAUCAGGAGGAACACCAAUGGCGAAGGCAGCUCACUGGGACGGUAUUGACGCUGAGACGCGAAAGCGUGGGGGAGCAAACAGG